rnacentral:rRNA from 1 species
GACGAACGCUGGCGGCGUGCUUAACACAUGCAAGUCGAACGGAAAGGCCCUGCUUUUGUGGUGUGCUCGAGUGGCGAACGGGUGAGUAACACGUGAGUAACCUGCCCUUGACUUUGGGAUAACUUCAGGAAACUAGGGCUAAUACCGGAUAGGAUCUCCUGCUGCAUGGUGGGGGUUGGAAAGUUGCGGCGGUUGGGGAUGGACUCGCGGCUGAUCUGCUUGUUGGUGGGGGAGGGGCUUACCAGGGAUUUGGCGGGUAGGCGGCCUGAGAGGGUGACCGGCCACAUUGGGACUGAGGUACGGACCAGACUGCUACGGGGGGCAACGGUGGGGAAUAUUGCACAAUGGGCGGAAGCAUGAUGAAGCAACGCCGCGUGCGUGAUGACGGUCUUCGGGUUGUAAACAGCUUUAGCCUGUGACGAAGCGUGAGUGACGGUAAUGGAUAAAGAAGCACCGGCUAACUACGUG